UACGUAGGGGGCUAGCGUUGUCCGGAAUCAUUGGGCGUAAAGCGCGCGUAGGCGGCCCGGUAAGUCCGCUGUAAAAGUCCAGGGCUCAACCCUGGAACGCCGGUGGAUACUGUCGGGCUAGAGUCCGGAAGAGGCGAGUGGAAUUCCUGGUGUAGCGGUGGAAUGCGCAGAUAUCAGGAGGAACACCGAUGGCGAAGGCAGCUCGCUGGGACGGUGACUGACGCUGAGGCGCGAAAGCGUGGGGAGCGAACAGG
rnacentral:rRNA from 1 species